AGGUUUUGUAUGUUUUUCAGAAAAGUGCACAUGGAGAAAUCAUUACAAUCUUUAACUCCGCAAAAAUGAAAAGCAAAACAAACCAACGUGUUCCAUGUGCCCACCUUGCUUCAGAUUUUGUGCUGUGUUGUCCCCAUGAAAGCAAGACUGACGCAGACGUUCAGUACAGUGAACGCAGCGCGCUGAGUAACGAGUAGCUCACUUUGUUUCUGUUAAAGAAGAUGCAGCUGCCGUCCACCUGAUUCAACCACCUGACUUUGACUUCUGCACAGAUAAAAGUGAAUUUAAAAAUGAACGUGCACCAACCCAGUAAUCUACUCAGCAAUGCAAUAAGUGGUUUAUGAUAAAUCUAGAUAAUCCAUCUAUAGCUAAUGCACUCUGUCUGCAGGGUCCUGUCUGACAUCAACUCGUUUAAAUCAUGUGAUUUAGAGAGACACAAAAGAGAUUAAAAUAUUUAAAUAGCCCAAACAAGGGAAGGAUCAUUUCUCUCACAAAAAGCACAAAAAAGUUUAACAGAGUUUGGUUAAACUUGAACUCUUGGGAGAGUUUUAGUAAUUAGGACAAUAAUUGGAACAACGAUCUUAAUAGCAAAUUAUCUUGAGACUGAAUCUGAUUGUGGAAAAUAACAAAUAUUUAUGUUAAAGAAUGAUCUUUUAAUGUAUUCAAGAAUUUCAGAUGAGACAAUCAGCCGAACUAAAAAUCAGGCGUCCGCUUGUGCGUUAUAAUAAAAGCCCUCUGAAAGCUCAAGUACUUAAACUGGCUAUUUAAUCUAUCUUGAAUGUUGCCCGGGCCAUUUCCCUGGCAGAGUCCAGGUUGCAGCUAUCAAUAGACCCAAAGUCCCGUUAGCAUUUCACUGUUAUGAGAAUCUAGGUCACAGACAAAAGGAUCUGGCUUCACCGAGAGUCUCCUCUGGCUUCUGAAAAAAUGCCCCGUUAUGUGAAGACGUGUUUACAUCAUGUGUUACUGUCUGUGAUGUAAACUCAUUUAAUGAAGUAUUACGGAUCCGUGCUUAGUCAGGCCUGAGAAAGGCUUGAGUCAGUGAUAGUUUGGUGCAAUUCUCUAUCUGCCUGCUUCAUAAGGAAAACCAGUGUCUCUGUCUGGAUCUGGACAAUAACCUGAUGGAGCUAAAAUAGACAGGACACUUACAGAGACACUGUGAGAGGCGUAAUCCUGCAUAGAAACUGACAUCGGCUUGUGUUUGCUCUGAAUUGUGCCUACAGAUUAAAUGUUUCUCUUAUAGUUAUAGUUCAUGUAUGUUCUUUAGUCACAACUGCUUUAAACAAUCCAUGGAACUGAAACGAAAGCAUGAGCCUGUUCAUUAACAUACUGUAAUUGUGAUUCAUUGUAUUAUCUUUCAGUUGGUUGAAGCUUAUUCUACCUUAAUGUACUGUACUGUUCGCUCCCUUUCUCUCCAUCAUGUUCUGUGGAAGCAGAGGUCACGCAGCCCUUUUUACCCCACUGCUCUAAUGACCCAUUAGUCUCCACAGAAACCCGCUGUCGGCUGGAAGACUCCAGUCUGAGUGUUGAGGCGGGUCAACGAUGGAGCCAUCACCGUGUGCAGCGGCCAUCGGCGCUAAUGAGGAGCACAGCUUCAAGAUGCAGAUGGAGCCCAAGAUCUCAGAUGGGAACCACAAGCUGCUGUUGUCAUGGUUUCAGGUAUCCUGGAGACACAAUACUGGAUGCUAAUUGGUGGAAAGAAGCAGAGAGCGAAUCGUUUAUUGGAAACAAUCAGCAGAGGAGUCUGGUGCACGCGCCUCGUCCCUGCGUCCGUCCGUCUCAUCGUCCGUCCGUCUCAUCGUCCGUCUCAUCAUCCGUCUCAUCAUCCGUCUCAUCAUCCGUCUCAUCGUCCGUCUCAUCAUCCGUCUCAUCAUCCGUCUCAUCAUCCGUCUCAUCGUCCGUCCGUCUCAUCGUCCGUCUCAUCGUCCGCCCGUCUCCACCUCGUUUGGAGUUUCUCAAGGUCAUGUGGAGGGUGAUGGUCACAUGACUUCUCAAUGCGCCACUGAUGUAAUGUUUAUACUGUAAGUCCAAUGAGAGGGUUGUCUCUCGGUCCCACCUGCCUCCGGGGCGCGUCCUCCCUCAGAUCACAAUCAGUAUCAUCGCCCAACUUUCCAAAACAAUCCAUUCAUCAUGAUCGUUUCAUUCGCCACAUCAGAGACGUCG